rnacentral:rRNA from 1 species
UNACGAAAGUGGGGUUGGUUACUAGAAAGUCUGCAGGCUGACCCGCAAGGGAGGCAGCGGCCCAAGGUAUGACUCAUGAUUGGGGUG